rnacentral:tRNA from 1 species
AAUAAGAUGGCUGAAGAUAGGCACUAGAUUGUAAAUCUAGUUAUGAGUAUAACUCUCUUAUUA